rnacentral:rRNA from 1 species
UACGUAGGGUGCGAGCGUUGUCCGGAAUUAUUGGGCGUAAAGAGCUCGUAGGCGGUCUGUCGCGUCGGUCGUGAAAACCUGCAGCUUAACUGUAGGCGUGCGGUCGAUACGGGCAUGACUGGAGUUCGGCAGGGGAGACUGGAAUUCCUGGUGUAGCGGUGAAAUGCGCAGAUAUCAGGAGGAACACCGGUGGCGAAGGCGGGUCUCUGGGCCGAUACUGACGCUGAGGUGCGAAAGCGUGGGGAGCAAACAGG